CAGUAGCCGCGGGAAUACCGAGGGUGCAAGCGUUAAUCGGAAUUACUGGGCGUAAAGCGCACGCAGGCGGUCUGACAAGUCAGAUGUGAAAUCCCCGGGCUUAACCUGGGAACUGCAUUUGAAACUGUCAGGCUGGAGUCUUGUAGAGGGGGGUAGAAUUCCAGGUGUAGCGGUGAAAUGCGUAGAGAUCUGGAGGAAUACCGGUGGCGAAGGCGGCCCCCUGGACAAAGACUGACGCUCAGGUGCGAAAGCGUGGGGAGCAAACAGGAUUAGAUACCCCUGUAGUCCCUGUCUCUUAUAC
rnacentral:rRNA from 1 species